ACGAACGCUGGGCGGCGUGCCUAAUACAUGCAAAGUCGAGGCGAGACUCUUCGGAGUCUAGCGGCGGACGGGGUGAGUAACACGUGGGCAAACCUGCCUGUAAGACUGGGAAUAACAACCGGGGAAAACCGGUGCUAAUACCGGAUAAAUCCUUUUCCUCUCAUGAGGAAAAGCUGAAUGAAAGUCGGUUUCGGGCUGACACUUACAGAUGGGGCCCGCGGCGCAAUAUAGCUAGUUGGUGAGGGUAAACGGCUCACCAAGGCGACGAUGCGUAGCCGACCUGGAGAGGGUGAUCGGCCACACUGGGACUGAGACACGGCCCAGACUCCUACGGGAAGGCAGCAGUAGGGAAAUCUUCCACAAUGGACGAAAGUCUGAUGGAGCAACGCCGCGUGAAGCGAUGAAGGCCUUCGGGUCGUAAAGCUCUUGUUGUUAGGGAAGAAACAAGUACCGGAAGUAACUGCCGGUACCUUUGACGGUAACCUAACCAGAAAAGCCACGGCUAACUACGUGCCAGCAGCCGCGGUAAUACGUAGGGUGGCAAGCGUUUUGUCCGGAAUUAUUGGGGCGUUAAAGCGGCGCGGGGUGCAGGCGGUCCUUUAAGUCUGAUGUGAAAGGCCCACGGCCUCUCAACCGUGGAGGGUCAUUGGAAACUGGGGGGGACUUGAUGUGCAGAAGAGAGGGAAAGCGGGAAUUCCCACGUGUAGCGGUGAAAUGCGUAGAGAUGUGUGAGGGAACCACCAGUGGCGAAGGCGGCUUUCUGGUCUGUAACUGACGCUGAGGGCGCGAAAGCGGAAGGGGGGAGGCAAACAGGAAUAUAGAUACCCUGGUAGUCCACGCCGUAGAAACGAUGAGUGCUAAGUGUUAGAGGGUUUCCGCCCUUUAGUGCUGCAGCUAACGCAAGUAAGCACUCCGCCUGGGGAGUACGGCCGCAAGGCUGAAACUCAAAGGAAUUGACGGGGGCCCGCACAAGCGGUGGUAGCAAUGUGGUUUAAUUCGAAAGCAACGCGGAAGAACCUUACCAGGUCUUGACAUCCUCUGACACUCCUAGAGAUAGGACGUUCCCCUUCGGGGGACAGGAAGUGAACAGGUGGUGCAUGGUUGUCGUCAGCCUCGUGUCGUGAGAUGUCGGGUUAAGUCCCCGCAACGGAGAGCGCAACCCUUGAUCUUAGGUUUGCCAGCAUUUAUUUAGUUUGGGCACUCUAAGUGACCUGCCGGUGACAAAACCGGAGGAAGGUGGGGAUGAACGUCAAAUCAUCAUGCCCCUUAUGACCUGGGCUACACACGUGCUACAAAUGGAUGGUACAAAGGGCUGCAAGACCGCGAGGUUUAGCCAAUCCCAUAAAAACCAUUCUCAGUUUCGGAUUGCAGGCUUGCAACUCGCCUGCCAUGAAGCCGGAAUCGCUUAGUAAUCGCGGGAUCAGCAUUGCCGCGGUGGAAUACGUUUCCCCGGGGCCCUUGUAACACACCGCCCCGUCAACACCAUGGAAGCAAGCAACACCCGAAGCCGGUGGGCCUAAACCCUCUGGGAGGGAGCCGUCGAAGGUGGGGCUCGUGACUGGGGUG
rnacentral:rRNA from 1 species